GGGAACGUGCCCUUCGGUUCGGAAUAACUCAGGGAAACUUGAGCUAAUACCGGAUACGCCCUUUUGGGGAAAGGUUUACUGCCGAAGGAUCGGCCCGCGUCUGAUUAGCUAGUUGGUGAGGUUACGGCUCACCAAGGCGACGAUCAGUAGCUGGUCUGAGAGGAUGAUCAGCCACACUGGGACUGAGACACGGCCCAGACUCCUACGGGAGGCAGCAGUGGGGAAUAUUGGACAAUGGGGGCAACCCUGAUCCAGCCAUGCCGCGUGAGUGAUGACGGCCUUAGGGUUGUAAAGCUCUUUUCUCCGGGACGAUAAUGACGGUACCGGAGGAAUAAGCCCCGGCUAACUUCGUGCCAGCAGCCGCGGUAAUACGAAGGGGGCUAGCGUUGCUCGGAAUCACUGGGCGUAAAGGGCGCGUAGGCGGCUGAUUUAGUCGAGGGUGAAAGCCCGUGGCUCAACCACGGAAUGGCCUUCGAUACUGGUUGGCUUGAGACCGGAAGAGGACAGCGGAACUGCGAGU
rnacentral:rRNA from 1 species